rnacentral:lncRNA from 1 species
CUCCCUCCCUCCAACCUGAGGAGGAACCCACUUGGAUUCCCAGAGCCCAGCCAAGCUUCCCAAAGCAGGCAGUCCUUUGCCAGGCUGCAGGAGCCAAGCCCGCCGCGGCGCAGGACUCUCUGCCUCCCUCCUGGGCUCAUUCCUCGGGAAACGGGGGUCAGGAAAGACCCCAAAAGAGCGGGCUUGGAGGCGAAACCCGCAAGAGGAAUCGGAAUAACUGGAACAGCAGCCCGCAAGGCAACAAGGAUGGGGCGCAGUUGUGCCGACCUUCCGAAGAUGGGGAAAAGGAGCCAAAGGGGCGACUGAUGCUGCUCCGGGGCUUUGCCAAUAGCGAGAGGAAGAGGAGGAGGAGGAGGAGGAAGAGGAGGAGGGAGGAAGAGCUCGGGCGAAGGAAGCCGAGCAGAGGCGCAGAGAGAGUGCCAAGGAUCGGCUGGGAGAGGAAGGAGAGGAAGGAGCACUGAAAAGCCGCCAAGGUGGGAAGAGAGGCGGACGCAGACCCAGCCAUGGUGCCUCUCCAGUUCGGGCGCUCCUAGCAAGGAUGAGAAAGGCGGCUGGGCUCGCUUUCCCCGAACCGGGAUCCACGCGAAGCUUCCCCGGGAUCCACGCGCAGGGUUGGCUCCGGAAGGCUGCCUCCUCCCGGGGUUAGAGGAUCCCUUUCUCUCCCUCUCCCUCUCUCUCUCCACUGGAUCGCCUCCAGCGCCUUCUCAUCCUUUUUGCACCGACUCUUCCUCCCUCUUCUGCUGCUCCAGCCGCUCCAGAAAAGUCCCAAGGCUUCCAGGACCAGCACUAGGUGCCACCUUGAUGUGGCACAACACACCAGACAUCACAGUUGUGGAAAAGAACAAGGUUUGGAUCAUUGAAGUUGCCAUCCCAGGUGACAGUCGCAUUGAUGAAAAACAACAGGAAAAACUCAGCUGCUAUCAGGACCUCAAGACUGAACUUCAAAGACUCUGGCAGAAACCAGUGCAGGUGGUCCCGGUGGUGAUGGGCACACUGGGUGCCGUGCCAAAAGAUCUCAGCCGGCAUUUGGAAACAAUAGACAUUGACAAAAGCACAAUCUGCCAACUGCAAAAGGCCACCCUACUGGGAUCUGCACGCAUCAUCCGAAAAUACAUCACACAGUCCUAG